CGCAGCGCAGGGAUACCGGUGCGGGGCGCAUCACCGGACGUGCCCAUCCGCGCAACGGCACUAAUCCCCUCGCGCCCAACCAACGGCGCUUGGCUUCGGGGUUCCGCUCGGUAACUCCUCCGGUGGAGCAAAGUUGCUCCGUGCCUCUGUGCCACCGGGGCAGGAGGCGGACAGGAGCCGGGGGGGCGCGCAAGCCGCAGCGGAGCCAAUAGACGGGAACUCCUGAGGAAAAGCGCAGUGUGGAGGAUGUGACUGAGCUCUGCAGUGCUAGGGGUAAGAGGAAAGCUCUGCAGCGAACCGGAGGAGCUCUCGUUUAAUGUAACACUGACAUCGCCUGCUGAAAUUUUAAUGCUCUGAGGUGUUCCUUAGGUCAAAGCUGAGCCUGUUUUGAGCUGUGUUCAGGGAUGAGAACGCAGCAGAGAAGGAAAGAAAACCUUCGUCCUUUUACAUUUCUGAGCAAAUGACCAAUACAGACAGCAAUGUGUUUUUACAGCGUUUGGUGAUCUGGGUUUAAUAUUCUGUCAUUUAUCACGGCAGCCGAAUAAAGUACUGUGCACAAAUU